rnacentral:tRNA from 1 species
GCUCCCAAGGUGCAAUCAGACCUGCACACCGCCCUGCGAAGGCGGAGGUUCGUGGUGCAAAUCCACGUGGGAGCACCA